AGUGGGGAAUAUUGGACAAUGGGCGAAAGCCUGAUCCAGCGACGCCGCGUGGGUGAAGAAGGCCUGCGGGUUGUAAAGCCCUUUCGGUGGGGAAGAAAAGCCUCGAGCUAAUACCUCGGGGUCUUGACGUAACCCAUAGAAGAAGCACCGGCUAACUCUGUGCCAGCAGCCGCGGUAAUACAGAGGGUGCGAGCGUUAAUCGGAAUUACUGGGCGUAAAGCGCGCGUAGGCGGCUUUGCAAGUCGGGUGUGAAAUCCCCAGGCUUAACCUGGGAACUGCAUUCGAGACUGCAUUGCUAGAGUAUGGGAGAGGGAAGUGGAAUUUCCGGUGUAGCGGUGAAAUGCGUAGAUAUCGGAAGGAACAUCAGUGGCGAAAGCGACUUCCUGGACCAAUACUGACGCUCAUGUGCGAAAGCGUGGGGAGCAAA
rnacentral:rRNA from 1 species